AGUGGUCAACUGGUAUAGACAUCCCAUUACCACUACUUCCUUCAUUGGACUGCAAGGUAUUUCUGUUUGGAAAAGUAAUGGAGUCCAGUCAACUUCAUUGAUCGCCAAGGACUGUCAAAAUUAUAAAACUUGCUGUGGAGCUCUGACAUGCCAGAAGCCGCUAGAAAAAGAAGUUUGACAUUCAGAAACUUAUCAAGAGGUUCUACUCUUUGGAUAGAGACCAAAAUCAUACUUUGAAAAAGCCUGACAGGUUUCUUCGGAAAAGUGGCCAUCCAUGGAAUGAAUGAAAUGUUCUCUUUCUAUUCCAGGGAUUGCAGUGGCAAAGCUAGGCUAGGUCUUGGAGGCUGGUGUAAGGCGAUGUGGGUGAAGGCAGGAGGCUGAUGGAAAGACUGGGGGGAAGAAAAGCCGAAAUGGAUUCACGGUGCCUUGGAUGAAGGACGAGAGGGGAACUGCAAGCUCCUUCAACUGGUUCUGUCCGGUGAGAAGUGAUCAAGCUUGGGCUGACAAGAGGCUCAGGGAGCCCUCACGUUCUUUCGCUUUUUUACCUGCCAAUCAAACUGCUACAAGACAACACCCUGAUCUGGCAUGGACAUAUCCAACUUAGAAAUAAUGUUUCAUUCAAGAUAAGGCUCGUGGCUUAGGAGAUUGUGACCUGGCUUGCAUCAUUCUAAGACUUCUAUCGUCUGUUUUCAAAACCCAAGGAGGACCUCCUUUUCUGUGUGAUAGUUCCUCAUGCUUUGCCAGCCACUGGGUCUUUAAGGAAGCUUGCCAAGAGUUCCCGGCUGGGAAGGACAGUUCGAGUUCAUCAUAGACAAUGAGCUGGCACCACAGUUUAAGUGACUCACCAACCUGGUUGCCCACUUCAAAAUGUCAAGAACCACACUAUCUAAUUGAAAGAACUGUGUUUUAGCAAAGUGUAAUUGGAUCGCCUGGCAAGAUCAUCUCAAACUAUGUCUCUGACCUUGCCUUUCAGUGGCUAUUUUGAGCACAAGAGGAGAAAGGAAAUGAUUCCUGAAUUAUAUCUUGUUUUUAAAAAUUAA
rnacentral:lncRNA from 1 species